GUGCCAGCAGCCGCGGUAAUACGGAGGGUGCAAGCGUUAAUCGGAAUUACUGGGCGUAAAGCGCGCGUAGGUGGCUUGAUAAGCCGGUUGUGAAAGCCCCGGGCUCAACCUGGGAACGGCAUCCGGAACUGUCAGGCUAGAGUGCAGGAGAGGAAGGUAGAAUUCCCGGUGUAGCGGUGAAAUGCGUAGAGAUCGGGAGGAAUACCAGUGGCGAAGGCGGCCUUCUGGACUGACACUGACACUGAGGUGCGAAAGCGUGGGUAGCAAACAGGAUUAGAUACCCUGGUAGUCCACGCCGUAAACGGUGUCGACCAGCCGUUGGGUGCCUAGCGCACUUUGUGGCGAAGUUAACGCGAUAAGUCGACCGCCUGGGGAGUACGGCCGCAAGGUUAAAACUCAAAUGAAUCGACGGGGGCCCGCACAAGCGGUGGAGCAUGUGGUUUAAUUCGAUGCAACGCGCAGAACCUUACC
rnacentral:rRNA from 1 species